ACUUGGAGGCAGUAAGACAUCACUUGAAAUUAUGGGUUGAAGGUGAAUGGAAAGAAACCUGUUUGGUUACUUCCACUGGUUCCUAAACUGCAGCAUUUCCCCAUUUGUGCCACUGGUACCUUUCGGGAUAAUAAAAAGGAGUCUGGAGGGAAGGCAAUAAACUGGAAAUAGAUAUGCUGGGUGUUUCGUCCUCCUUAGAAGAAAGUAAGUGAAAAUAAUGCUAGUGAGAAGAAAUAGAAAGGCUGGCUCUCUUUAACGCUUCCAUUUUCCCAUAUGUGCCAUGAUCUUACACAGGACACUGGCAUAUUUAAGAGGACUUGACUUUGCCCCUUGAACUUGGCUCACAGGGGCUCAUCCUCUAGGUGUCAGUUUAUUACUUCACCCAAGAAGUCUUCUCUGAACACUUUACCUCCAUCCUCAACCCCAGAAUAGGUGAUGCACUCCCGUAAGAUUUCUUAGAAUCAGGUACAUUGCUUGUCAGGCUACUUAUUUCAUUUAACGGGAUUACUUGUUUAAUUGUAUGGCUCCCGAUCUAUGAAGGUGAAGACCAUGGUUACGCUCCCUAGUGGGAGCGUAACUCAGUGCUUGAGAGAGGGGAGCCACUUAAUCUUUACUGAAUAAAAUAAUAAAUGAUUAGCUGAUAGGAAGUUGUGAUAGGGGUUCGGGUAUCUGUCGUUCUGUUUGUUGCUCAUUCUCUUCUCCUCCCACUGCCUGCACCUAACACGUAAGUUCUGUGAGGUUAGAGAUUUCAUCUGUUGUAUCCGUUAAUUUUGCCAAGGCCUAGAACAGGGCCUGGCAUGCAGUGGGUGCCUUUUAAUAAAUAUUUAUUCAUUGAACCACUCACUCCCAGAUAAAGACUAAGGAGCGUUAAGGGAAAGGGAAUCUGCAGGAGGAGGCAUCCACUUAGUUUUCUAUCCUGAUUCUACUGCCUCUUCUGUCACCUCGCCGACUGCCGUUAUUCUCCCCUUUCCUCUCCUUUAGUUGUCCUUUGUCUAGAGUAACCUUACUGCUCAGUCUCUACACCACUCCUGCCCCCACCUCUGCCCCACUGCUGCUUUUCUGUCCAAGAACUCCACGCUCAGUCCACAUCCAGCUUCCCUAAUAAAUGCUUAUACACCAGAUGAUUUAACUAUUAAAAUCCUCCAUUUCCUUUUGGUUCUUCACUCAAGGAACCUAUCCUACUGCAGUGCUUGAGUUCUUUAUGACCUGGCUGAAUAAUUUCCUCAAACUUUCUGUGGGGUGGGGGGAAGGUGAUUGAGACCUAUCUUAGUAAAUAGUAGAUCACUUUAUUCUUUCUAAAGCAUUUUUGAAUGGGUUAGUCUCAGCUAGUCUAUACAACAUCCCAUAUGAAGUAGACCAAGGGUGGAAAUGGUAUCAAAUUUGGAGAUGAGAAAACCAAGGUACAGAAAAGUUGAUGGUGGUUCUAAAGCUACAAGAGGUGGUGAAGGUAAAACCUGGAUGUGAAUCCAGACUUUUCCUUCUUGGUAACAUAUGACUCUGUAGAGAAGACUCUGUUGGGAUGAGAAACAAAUCACUGCUUGAGUCUAGGCCACAAACUCAAUUGUGACCAUAUUUGCAAAACAAACUAGGAAGCUAAGUCUGUAUCACUAGUCAAAUUUUGAUAGUAAAAAAAAAAAAAAAGAAAAACUGAAAGCUGCCAUUUGGAAUUUAGUACUGUACUAUUCACCAAAUUCUAGCCACGAAGGGAAAGAAAAAUACCACUUUUGAACAACUUGGCAUUUUCCCGUUUUAAGUAGAAUCUAAUACAUCAUAGGCCUGAUGACAUUUUAAGAGUUUCAAGUCUGUAGUGGCUGUCAUGACAUGAAUCAUUCAAACGGAGGCCACCUUCCUGAGCAGUGACUCACAGUAAAUAGCUUGAAGAGAGAAAAACAUAUUUUCCCAUCGUUCAAAUGAAACAAACCUACCAAAGCCAUGACUACCUUCCAGAAGGCUGGGUGAUUCUGUUGUGUCCACGACAGAAGCGUAUUCUUAAGGAGCGUUCACCAAAUGAAGAAUGCGGACCUCUGAAGGUCAGUCCCUUAUCCAUCACUAACGAAAAGUAUGACCCCAGGUAGGGCUUUCCAAUUCUCCUUGCCUCAGCGUAAAAUGGGAGAGUGAGAGGUCCUUCUGGGUCUGAGAACUGCUGAUUUGGGGUCAUCUUGCUGCAGUACUGGAGCUGUUACUGAUGCCAGGUAUUUUCUUACCCACCGAGAGAAGCUGUGACACCAAGUAAGGACAGCUCGGAGCGUGGCAGGAGGGGGCUCCCCAUUGGUCAGACCCAGCUGGAAGUCAGAGGGUUGCUGUGAGAAUGAUGUAAUUAUGGAUAUAUGUGACGAGAUCAUGAUGUUUUUCAAACACAGCUGCAAAUUCUCUGACACACCUUCCAUCCAGACCUGGAGUGUAUACCCUUUCUCCUCAAACUUGAACAAGACUUUGUGACCACCUGGACAAACAGAAUGCAGCAAAGGAACACAGCAGGGCUUUCUGCUCUUGGAUUCUGAGAACUCCACCUGCCAGCUGAGAAGCAGAUGCUGGAAUGCCAAGAAGUUACUGGGCCCUGCCAGCUGCCUCCCCAGAUGACACAUUUGCCCCUGGAACUGCAUCGGAUCUGGACCCACAUACAUUUGAGCACAUAAAAGAGCCCUUCAGAGAACUCAAGUAAUUUGCUUAUAGUCGUACAACUGGGAAUGGACAAAGGUGCAAUCUGAAAUCUGACCUGUUUGAAUUCUGAAGACCAUGCCCUUUCUAUAAAGCAAUGUCACCCUUCACUGCACCAAACAAAACCACAUGGAAGGAGAGACAGCCACUAGCACUCACCAAGGACAUCAUGGUUCUUCUUCCCUAACUGCAAUCAAAAUGGCAAUAGCGGUUGCUCCCCUAAGUGGACGCAGAUUCCUAGAGUGCUCCCUAAAGAUUCAAGACCUUGGUUUUCUCCUAACCAGUCCCUUGUCCCUCCUUUAUGUUGUCCAUCCUGACUUUGGAUGAUGGCACUAGCCCCUUGUGUCAUCACUCAGCUCUGCUGCCUCUUCUAAGAUGAGAACAAGACUAGAAUGGCCAAGGCCAAGGUGCUGAGGUCUGGUUGGGAAGACCUCAGGUCAUACUGGGCUACUUCUGACCCCAUGAGAAGAUCUGGAAAUUUGCCUGGCCCUCAGAGAACAAAAUGGUCAAAUCAAGACACCUCAUUAUUUGUGUGUGGUGUGAAAGAUCGAGGUAAACCGGGAAAAUUAAGGCCAGAUCUCAAAUGCUUGUUUUCUAUCAUUUGUUUUGGGUCCCAUCACAGAAGGCAGGACCACUUAACCAUUGUAAUUUGGCCUUGGGGUAAUUUUUUUUCGAAAUAUAAAGUUUUUAUCUUUACAAAGGGGAACAUUAUUUCUUACUGUUUGUAUCACAAUUUAAAUACCAUUUAUGCCCCUAAACCUUUCUUUUCCAAUGUUCUUUGUCAACAGUUGAAGGUAAAUAAAAAUAACAUUUGAAUAAUGCAUGCUAAUAAAA